rnacentral:tRNA from 1 species
GGUUCGUUGGUCUAGCGGUAUGAUUCUCGCUUAGGGAAGCAACCCUGAGUCAAAAUGCGAGAGGUCCCGGGUUCAAUCCCCGGACGAACCC